rnacentral:rRNA from 1 species
AUUGAACGCUGGCGGCAUGCUUUACACAUGCAAGUCGGACGGUAACAGGUUAAGCUGACGAGUGGCGAACGGGUGAGUAAUGCAUCGGAACGUGCCCGGUCGUGGGGGAUAACGCAGCGAAGGCUGCGCUAAUACCGCAUACGAUCUGAGGAUGAAAGCGGGGGACCGGAAGGCCUAGCGCGAUCGGAGCGGCCGAUGUCAGAUUAUGUAGUUGGGGGGGUAAAGGCUCACCAAGCGAACGAUCGGUAGCUGGUCUGAGAGGACGACCAGCCACACUGGGAAUGAGACACGGCCCAGAUUCUUACGGGAGGCAGCAGUGGGGAAUGUUGGACAAUGGGCGAAAGCCUGAUCCAGCAAUGCCGCGUGCAGGAAGAAGGCCUUCGGGUUGUAAACUGCUUUUGUACGGAGCGAAAAGGUCUCCUCUAAUACAGGGGACUCAUGACGGUACCGUAAGAAUAAGCACCGGCUAACUACGUGCCAGCCGCCGCCGUAA